rnacentral:rRNA from 1 species
CCUACGGGCGGCAGCAGUGAGGAAUAUUGGUCAAUGGACGCAAGUCUGAACCAGCCAUGCCGCGUGCAGGAAGACGGCUCUAUGAGUUGUAAACUGCUUUUGUACGAGGGUAAACGCAGAUACGCGUAUCUGUCUGAAAGUAUCGUAUGAAUAAGGAUCGGCUAACUCCGUGCCAGCAGCCGCGGUAAUACGGAGGAUUCAAGCGUUAUCCGGAUUUAUUGGGUUUAAAGGGUGCGUAGGCGGUCGGAUAAGUUAGAGGUGAAAUCCCGAGGCUCAACUUCGGAAUUGCAUCUGAUACUGUUAGGCUAGAGAGUAGUUGCGGUAGGCGGAAUGUAUGGUGUAGCGGUGAAAUGCUUAGAGAUCAUACAGAACACCGAUUGCGAAGGCAGCUUACCAAGCUACUUCUGACGUUGAGGCACGAAAGCGUGGGGAGCAAACAGGAUUAGAUACCCUGGUAGUC